UUUAUCGGAGAGUUUGAUCCUGGCUCAGGACGAACGCUGGCGGCGUGCCUAAUACAUGCAAGUCGAGCGGACAGAUGGGAGCUUGCUCCCUGAUGUUAGCGGCGGACGGGUGAGUAACACGUGGGUAACCUGCCUGUAAGACUGGGAUAACUCCGGGAAACCGGGGCUAAUACCGGAUGGUUGUUUGAACCGCAUGGUUCAGACAUAAAAGGUGGCUUCGGCUACCACUUACAGAUGGACCCGCGGCGCAUUAGCUAGUUGGUGAGGUAACGGCUCACCAAGGCAACGAUGCGUAGCCGACCUGAGAGGGUGAUCGGCCACACUGGGACUGAGACACGGCCCAGACUCCUACGGGAGGCAGCAGUAGGGAAUCUUCCGCAAUGGACGAAAGUCUGACGGAGCAACGCCGCGUGAGUGAUGAAGGUUUUCGGAUCGUAAAGCUCUG
rnacentral:rRNA from 1 species